GACGAACGCUGGCGGCGUGCUUAACACAUGCAAGUCGAACGGACAGGCCCUGCUUUUGUGGCGUGCUCGAGUGCCGCACGCGUGAGUAACACGUGAGUAACCUGCCCUUGACUUUGUGAUAACUUCUGGAAACUGGGGCUCAUACCGGAUAGGAGCUCCUGCUGCAUGGUGGGGGUUGGAAAGUUUCGGCGGUUGGGGAUGGUAUGGCAGCUUAUCAGCUUGUUGGUGGGGUAGUGGCUUACCAAGGGUUUGACGGGUAGGCGGCCUUGGAGGGUUACCGGCCACAUGGGGACUGAGAGACGGACCAGAAGCGUACGGGAGGCAGCAGUGGGGAAUAUUGCAGAAUGGGCGGAAGUCUGAUGUAGCGACCCCGCGUGCGGGAUGACGGCCUACGGGGUGUAAACCGCUGUCGCCGGUGACGAAGCGGGAGUGACGGUAACGGGUAAAGAAGCACCGGCUAACUACGUG
rnacentral:rRNA from 1 species